UCUUGCUGAUGUCACAAUUCAGGUGCAGCCAGCCCCUGCAUCCUGCCUGUGAUGUCAUCAGGGCACAGGUGCGCCAUGGGGCAGGCUGCAGCGCUGUGCAGUGCUGAUGCAUUUGACUUCCCCAUGGAUGGAUUCUCAGCUCCGGAGACUCCGUCUCUUGUGGCAGAGUAGCUACUGGCAGCUAGGGUCACUUGCAGCUGACGUAGUAUCUGCUCAUAUUUCUGACCAGAGAGGGAAAAUGGCCAGUGAGCAGCAGGAGGGUCUUGGGAGCUUGUUUCUUCUCUCUGGAGUGUGAUUCUUGAAAAAGCCUCUAAGGAAUUUCGGUCUGUCUAUCUGCCUCAGAACACCAGCCUGGCUCCUCUUGUUGUGCAGAAGAGGGGGAACAGAAGCUGGCCUCUCCUCAUUGUGGGGGUUCAGAGGAAGCAUUUCAGCAUCUCUUCCUAAUUAUGGUGCCUACUGCAAGUUCUUUGUAGAAAUCUUACACGAGACCAAUGGAGUUCUUUUUCUUGGGGGUGCUGGGCGUCAAGCCCAGGGCCUGGUAUGUAUUAGACCCCAACUUUUCACACGCUGGGCCUUGAAAAGUUUCUGGACUCCCACUGACCAAAGAUGCAGCAUGCAUUCAGGACCUUGUGGCAGCGCUCAGCUGCCUUGCCUUACGCAACUUCCCUGAGGUCUGCACACCCACCUCGUGCAGUUUGCUGGACACCUGUCAUCGCCCCACAGAACCACAAACACUGUCUCACACACUUCGGCUCCGACUGGGUACUGUUGUAUGUUGUGAACUGCAGUGUUUUGACUGUACAUAUGACGUUGUUUUGCUCUUAUGGAAACAACAUGGUUUAAUUACAAAACCACAAAAUUUUA